rnacentral:sRNA from 1 species
AAAAAAAAAACCAGAAUACGUAGAAAUGGGAUAUUAAAUGAAAAGACCAAUAAAAAAAAGAAUUUGGGGUCCAAGCUUGUCUGCCACUGAGUUGUUUUCCUUUUAUGUAUAUUUGUUGUUGUAUGCAUAUUGUUGAUCAAUUUUAUAGGUUGUUUAGAAUUUAUCACCAUGAUUAUCUAUCGGAUUCUCUACACCAUAAGUGUUCUAC